UACGUAGGGUGCAAGCGUUAAUCGGAAUUACUGGGCGUAAAGCGUGCGCAGGCGGUUUUGUAAGACAGGCGUGAAAUCCCCGGGCUCAACCUGGGAAUUGCGCUUGUGACUGCAAAGCUGGAGUGCGGCAGAGGGGGAUGGAAUUCCGCGUGUAGCAGUGAAAUGCAUAGAUAUGCGGAGGAACACCGAUGGCGAAGGCAAUCCCCUGGACCUGUACUGACGCUCAUGCACGAAAGCGUGGGGAGCAAACAGG
rnacentral:rRNA from 1 species